rnacentral:rRNA from 1 species
UACGAAGGGGGCUAGCGUUGUUCGGAAUCACUGGGCGUAAAGGGCGCGUAGGCGGCCAUAUAAGUCGGGGGUGAAAGCCUGUGGCUCAACCACAGAAUUGCCUUCGAUACUGUAUGGCUCGAGACCGGAAGAGGUAAGUGGAACUGCGAGUGUAGAGGUGAAAUUCGUAGAUAUUCGCAAGAACACCAGUGGCGAAGGCGGCUCACUGGCCCGGUACUGACGCUGAGGCACGAAAGCGUGGGGAGCAAACAGG